rnacentral:rRNA from 1 species
UUGCCCUAGUAACGGCGAGUGAAGCGGCAACAGCUCAAAUUUGAAAGCUGGCCUUCGGGUCCGCAUUGUAAUUUGUAGAGGAUGCUUUGGGUGAAACGCCAGUCUAAGUUCCUUGGAACAGGACGUCAUAGAGGGUGAGAAUCCCGUAUGUGACUGGAAAUGUUAACCUAUGUAAAGCUCCUUCGACGAGUCGAGUUGUUUGGGAAUGCAGCUCUAAAUGGGAGGUAAAUUUCUUCUAAAGCUAAAUAUUGGCGAGAGACCGAUAGCGCACAAGUAGAGUGAUCGAAAGAUGAAAAGCACUUUGGAAAGAGAGUUAAAAAGCACGUGAAAUUGUUGAAAGGGAAGCGCUUGCAAUCAGACUUGUUUAAACUGUUCGGCCGGUCUUCUGACCGGUUUACUCAGUUUGGACAGGCCAGCAUCAGUUUCGGCGGCCGGAUAAAGGCUCUGGGAAUGUGGCCUUCACUUCGGUGAAGGUGUUAUAGCCCAGGGUGUAAUACGGCCAGCCGGGACUGAGGUCCGCGCUUCGGCUAGGAUGCUGGCGUAAUGGUUGUAAGCGACCCGUCUUGAAACACGGACCAAGGAGUCUAACAUCUAUGCGAGUGUUCGGGUGUCAAACCCCUGCGCGUAAUGAAAGUGAACGGAGGUGGGAACCGCAAGGUGCACCAUCGACCGAUCCUGAUGUCUUCGGAUGGAUUUGAGUAAGAGCAUAGCUGUUGGGACCCGAAAGAUGGUGAACUAUGCCUGAAUAGGGUGAAGCCAGAGGAAACUCUGGUGGAGGCUCGCAGCGGUUCUGACGUGCAAAUCGAUCGUCAAAUUUGGGUAUAGGGGCGAAAGACUAAUCGAAU